rnacentral:rRNA from 1 species
AUUGAACGCUGGCGGCAGGCUUAACACAUGCAAGUCGAGCGGAGAUGAGGUGCUUGCACCUUAUCUUAGCGGCGGACGGGUGAGUAAUGCUUAGGAGUCUGCCUAUUAGUGGGGGACAACAUUCCGAAAGGAAUGCUAAUACCGCAGACGUCCUACGGGAGAAAGCAGGGGAUCUUCGGACCUUGCGCUAAUAGAUGAGCCUAAGUCGGAUUAGCUAGUUGGUGGGGUAAAGGCCUACCAAGGCGACGAUCUGUAGCGGGUCUGAGAGGAUGAUCCGCCACACUGGGACUGAGACACGGCCCAGACUCCUACGGGAGGCAGCAGUGGGGAAUAUUGGACAAUGGGCGGAAGCCUGAUCCAGCCAUGCCGCGUGUGUGAAGAAGGCCUUUUGGUUGUAAAGCACUUUAAGCGAGGAGGAGGCUACUGGUACUAAUACUACUGGAUAGUGGACGUUACUCGCAGAAUAAGCACCGGCUAACUCUGUGCCAGCCGCCGCGGUAAAAC